GCUCUCUGGAGAAUCCCAUCAAAUGGGUGCCGAAGGUGUAAGCAGCGUCAGCGCUGUGAAUCUCUCAGGCAAAAGGACAGGGU
rnacentral:ncRNA from 1 species